CCUACGGGAGGCAGCAGUGGGGAAUAUUGGACAAUGGGGGGAACCCUGAUCCAGCGACGCCGCGUGAGUGAAGAAGUAUUUCGGUAUGUAAAGCUCUAUCAGCAGGGAAGAAAGAAAUGACGGUACCUGACUAAGAAGCCCCGGCUAACUACGUGCCAGCAGCCGCGGUAAUACGUAGGGGGCAAGCGUUAUCCGGAUUUACUGGGGGUAAAGGGGGCGUAGACGGCGAUGCAAGUCUGAAGUGAAAGGCGGGGGCCCAACCCCUGGACUGCUUUGGAAACUGUAUGGCUGGAGUGCAGGAGAGGUAAGUGGAAUUCCUAGUGUAGCGGUGAAAUGCGUAGAUAUUAGGAGGAACACCAGUGGCGAAGGCGGCUUACUGGACUGUAACUGACGUUGAGGCUCGAAAGCGUGGGGAGCAAACAGGAUUAGAUACCCGUGUAGUC
rnacentral:rRNA from 1 species